AUUCUGAUGAAGAAGACUUCGCUAUCAGCCUGUGCCCUGCCAGAGCUCUGGUCAGUGGCUGCCCAGCUUGCUAAGAUGUCAUUUCUGUCAUGAGGUUAUUCCCACAGGAACCUCAGUACCUCUAUGAAAGGAUGGUGAUGUGAAUUGCUCUCACUUCCUUUUACUGGGUGUUAUAGAGAGGACGAGAGCCAGGACGCGUAGAGACACAGGCACACAGAGAGCAAGGCUCCCAGAGCCAUGCUUCAUCAGCUGUUGGAACAAGAAAAGGAAUUCAAGUGAACAGAUUUUCACACUGUCUUCAGUGAGGAGCAAGGGCGGGCUUCCGGCAUGCUGAUGGAAAGUUCUACCACUUCACUACUGACUGAUUAUGCAGUGACAGAGCUAAGUCCAGGUCUUCGACUGAGCAUGGUGAGUGCUCUG
rnacentral:lncRNA from 1 species